UAAGGUACAACUGACGCUGAAGCACGAAAGCGUGGGUAUCAAACAGGAUUAGAUACCCUGGUAGUCCACGCAGUAAACGAUGAUAACUGGGCGUAUGCGAUAUACAGUAUGCUCCUAAGCGAAAGCGUUAAGUUAUCCACCUGGGGAGUACGCCGGCAACGGUGAAACUCAAAGGAAUUGACGGGGGCCCGCACAAGCGGAGGAACAUGUGGUUUAAUUCGAUGAUACGCGAGGAACCUUACCCGGGAUUGAAAUGUAGAUGACCGCUCCUGAAAGGGAGUUUUCCUUCGGGACAUCUAUGUAGGUGCUGCAUGGUUGUCGUCAGCUCGUGCCGUGAGGUGUCGGCUUAAGUGCCAUAACGAGCGCAACCCCUGUCUACGGUUGCCAUCAGGUAAUGCUGGGAACUCCGUAGAGACUGCCGUCGUAAGGCGAGAGGAAGGUGGGGAUGACGUCAAAUCAGCACGGCCCUUACAUCCGGGGCGACACACGUGUUACAAUGGUAAGGACAAAGGGCAGCUACCUGGCGACAGGAUGCGAAUCUCUAAACCUUAUCACAGUUCGGAUCGGAGUCUGCAACUCGACUCCGUGAAGCUGGAUUCGCUAGUAAUCGCGCAUCAGCCAUGGCGCGGUGAAUACGUUCCCGGGCCUUGUACACACCGCCCGUCAAGCCAUGGGAGUCUGGAGUACCUAAAGUCCGUAACCGCAAGGGUCGGCCUAGGGUAAUACAGGUGACUGGGGCUAAGUCGUAACAAGGUAGCCGUACCGGAAGG
rnacentral:rRNA from 1 species